UGGAUGUGUCAGGUAGGCAGUACAUUGCUAGCUGGCUGUUAUAAUUUCAACAGUGGCUAGUUGUGCUCCCCUCUGUUGCAUUCA
rfam:Pteropus alecto contig45544, whole genome shotgun sequence.